GGUUCGAUCAUGGCUCAGAUUGAACGCUGGCGGGAUGCUUUACACAUGCAAGUCGAACGGCAGCACGGACUUCGGUCUGGUGGCGAGUGGCGAACAGGUGAUAAUGUAUCAGGUACGUGCCUAGUAGCGGGGAUAACUACGAAAGCGUAGCUAAUACCGCAUACGCCCUUCGGGGAAGCCCAGGGGACCUUCAGGCCUCGCACUAUUAAACGGCCGAUAUCGGAUUAGCUAAGUUAAUUCAGGGUAACGGCUCACCAAGGCGACGAUCCGUAGCUGGUUUGAGAGGACGACCAGCCACACUGGGACUGAGACGGCCCAGACAUAAGGAGGCAGCAGUGGGGAAUUUUGGACAAUGGGAAACCUGAUCCAGCCAUCGCGUGUGCGAUGAAGGCCUUCGGGUUGUAAAGCACUUUUGGCAGGGGAAAGAAACGGCACGGGAUAAUACCCCGUGCAACUGACAGUACCUGCAGAAUAAGCACCGGCUAACUACGUGCCAGCAGCCGCGGUAAUACGUAGAGGUCACCGCAAGCGUUAAUCGGAAUUACUGGGCGUAAAGCGUGCGCAGGCAGUUCGGAAAGAAAGAUGUGAAAUCCCAGAGCUUAACUUUGGAACUGCGUGCAUAACCCUACCGAACUGGAAUGUGUCAGAGGGAGGUGGAAUUCGUGUAGCAGUGAAGGCAGUGAAUGCGGAGGAGCACCGAUGUGAAGGGCAGCCUCCUGGGAUAACACUUUGACGCUCAUGCCACAGCAACAGGAGCAAACAGGAUUAGAUGCCAUGGCGAAGAUGCGCCUGCGACACCCGAUGUCAACUAGCUGUUGGGGCGGCUUUGGGCCUUGAUGGCCGCAACUAACGUGAAGUUGACCGCCUGGGGAAAUUACGGUCGUGGAUAUCCAAAACUCAAAGGAAUUGACGGGGACGCUGGCUUGAUGGAUGUCUGCGGAUUAAUUCGAUGCAACGCGAAAAACCUUACCUACCCUUGACGUGUCUGAAUCCAGAAGAUUUGGGAGCUGCUCAACAAAUGGACUUACAAGAGUCGCGCCGCAUCAAAGCAAUAGAUGUGACGACAAAUCGGUCGUGAGAUGUUGGUGGGGUCUGCAACAGGCAGCCAUCAUUAGCUGCUACGAAGGCACUCUGGUAGGAUUGCCGUUCAAACCGGAGGAAGGUGGGGAUGACGUGAAGUCCUCAUGGCCCUUAUGGUUGGGAGCUGUCACUGAUGGUCGGGACAGAGGACAACAAAGCCCACGGUCGAUAUCCGGGAAGCCAGUCGUAGUUAGGGUCAUGGAGUCUGCAAGCUCGACUGCGUGAAGUCAGAAUCGCUAGUAAUCGCGGAUCAGCAUGUCGCGGUGAAUACGUUCCCGGGUCUUGUACACACCGCCCGUCACACACCAUGGGAGUGGGUUUUACCAGAAGUAGUUAGCCUAACCGUAAGGAGGGCGAUUCACGCAGUAGGAUUCAUGACUGGGGUGAAGUCGUAACAAGGUAA
rnacentral:rRNA from 1 species